CCUUCGCGCGAGCUGUCAACAAAUCAACACACACGACUAUGUCAACAAAAAAUGAUUUUGUUGUUGCACAACAUUCGUUUGUUUCGUGUGUUCAGACGGUUUCGCGAUUCGUAAAUCCCCUCAACUGUUCCGGUUUGAUAACAACCAGCAAAUGGACAAGGCCGUGACAACCCGGUUCCAUCGUUUCAAUCUGAUGUGACCGAAAUGAAGUGCUCGCAUUUCAUAAAUCACGACCUUUCGUGCUGGACGUGGAUUAAGGUGCCAGUGACCAUAGUGGUUCAACAUCAGAGGUAUUAGUAGCCGCCGGGACAAAAACAAGAACGACGUAGCAGAUUUCUACUUCGAGGUGACCCGAUCCGGACUGUGGUGACGAUCAUACAAUCUGCAGCACAAAAGUUUUGCACUCAGCUACUCGCCCACGACCGAUUCGUUCAUGAAGAACCAGAAAGGGUCAGGAUUUGGCUGAGGAGUUGUAUGGUGGCUUUGCCAGUUUCUGCAACGGUUAGAGAUAACGCUUGAUAGCAGAGCACCCUCCGGCCCUCCGACGCUCUCGGUGUCAGUUCCGCAGUUCUCGUUUGGCAACUGUCUCAGUACAGCCCAGGGUGUCCAGCCUGAAGGAAGAUCUGAUCACGAUGGGUGCUUGACUAGAAGGAUCUGAAACCGUGUAAGGUGUACGAUUGAUUUGCUCAACUGUAAGUAUUGCAUGAAUUAUUUUUCAAUUGCCAAGUAAAUUCCGCAUAGUUAAAAUCACAACCUGCAUUUAUAUCAAGCAUGUGUGAAUUAAGUGCAAUUAAAUAACUUUUACUCCGUUGAAUUUGAAAUCUGAUACUAUUUUUCAAGCUUCAUGUUGCCUACCGUUUGAAAUGAUU